rnacentral:tRNA from 1 species
UACCUAUUAGCUCAGAUGGUAAAGAAUUUGCCUGCGAUGCAAGAGACCUAGGUUUGAUCCCUGGGUAGGGAA